rnacentral:rRNA from 1 species
GGAUAACCUACCCUUAGGACUGGGAUAACCUUGGGAAACUGAGGAUAAUACUGGAUAGGCAAUUAUUCCUGGAAUGGUUUUUUGUUUAAAUGUUUUUUCGCCUAAGGAUGGGUCUGCGGCCGAUUAGGUAGUUGGUUAGGUAACGGCUUACCAAGCCAUUGAUCGGUACGGGUUGUGAGAGCAAGAGCCCGGAGAUGGAACCUGAGACAAGGUUCCAGGCCCUACGGGGUGCAGCAGGCGCGAAACCUCCGCAAUGUGAGAAAUCGCGACGGGGGGAUCCCAAGUGCCAUUCUUAACGGGAUGGCUUUUCAUUAGUGUAAAGAGCUUUUGGAAUAAGGGCUGGGCAAGACCGGUGCCAGCCGCCGCGGUAACACCGGCAGCUCUAGUGGUAGCAGUUUUUAUUGGGCCUAAAGCGUCCGUAGCCGGUUUAAUAAGUCUCUGGUGAAAUCCUGUAGCUUAACUGUGGGAAUUGCUGGAGAUACUAUUAGACUUGAGACCGGGAGAGGUUAGAGGUACUCCCAGGGUAGAGGUGAAAUUCUGUAAUCCUGGGAGGACCGCCUGUUGCGAAGGCGUCUAACUGGAACGGUUCUGACGGUGAGGGACGAAAGUUAGGGGCGCGAACCGGAUUAGAUACCCGGGUAGUCCUAACCGUAAACGAUGCGGACUUGGUGUUGGGGUGGCUUUGAGCUGCUCCAGUGC